GACGAACGCUGGCGGCGCGCUUAACACAUGCAAGUCGAACGAGAACCAGCCCUUCGGGGCUGGGGAAAGUGGCGAACGGGUGAGUAACACGUGGGUAAUCUGCCCUCGGCACCGGAAUAGCCCGGGGAAACCCGGAUUAAUGCCGGAUAGCCUCUCCGGUCCUUGGACUGGUGAGAAAAGGUAGCUUCGGCCUCUGGCCGAGGCGGAGCCCGCGGCGGAUUAGCUUGUUGGUGAGGUAACGGCCCACCAAGGCGACGAUCCGUAGCGGGUCUGAGAGGACGAUCAGCCACACUGGGACCGAGACACGGCCCAGACUCCUACGGGAGGCAGCAGUGGGGAAUCUUGCGCAAUGGGCGAAAGCCUGACGCAGCGACGCCGCGUGCGGGAAGAAGGCCUUCGGGUUGUAAACCGCUUUCAGGAGGGACGAAGCCACUCGGGUUAAUAGCCCAGAGGGUGACGGUACCUCCAGAAGAAGCCCCGGCUAACUACGUGCCAGCAGCCGCCGUAAUAC
rnacentral:rRNA from 1 species